rnacentral:rRNA from 1 species
AACGAGCGCUGGCGGCAGGCCUAACACAUGCAAGUCGAGCGAGGACUUCGGUCCUAGCGGCGGACGGGUGAGUAACGCGUGGGAACGUGCCCUUUGCUCCGGAAUAGCCCUGGGAAACUGGGAGUAAUACCGGAUGAGCCCUUUGGGGGAAAGAUUUAUCGGCGAAGGAUCGGCCCGCGUUGGAUUAGGUAGUUGGUGGGGUAAUGACCUACCAAGCCGACGAUCCAUAGCUGGUUUGAGAGGAUGAUCAGCCACACUGGGACUGAGACACGGCCCAGACUCCUACGGGAGGCAGCAGUGGGGAAUCUUAGACAAUGGGGGAAACCCUGAUCUAGCCAUGCCGCGUGAGCGAUGAAGGCCUUAGGGUUGUAAAGCUCUUUCAGCUGGGAAGAUAAUGACGGUACCAGCAGAAGAAGCCCCGGCUAACUCCGUG